rnacentral:rRNA from 1 species
UACGUAGGGGGCUAGCGUUGUCCGGAAUCAUUGGGCGUAAAGAGCGUGUAGGCGGCCCGGUAAGUCCGCUGUGAAAGUCGGGGGCUCAACCUCGAAUGCCGGUGGAUACUGUCGGGCUAGAGUGCGGAAGAGGCGAGUGGAAUUCCUGGUGUAGCGGUGAAAUGCGCAGAUAUCAGGAGGAACACCUAUUGCGAAGGCAGCUCGCUGGGACGUAACUGACGCUGAGACGCGAAAGCGUGGGGGAGCGAACAGG